UGGGGAAUAUUGGACAAUGGGGGCAACCCUGAUCCAGCAAUGCCGCGUGUGUGAAGAAGGCCUUCGGGUUGUAAAGCACUUUUAUCGGGAACGAAACAUUGUCGGCCAAUACCCGGCAAGACUGACGGUACCCGAGGAAUAAGCACCGGCUAACUCCGUGCCAGCAGCCGCGGUAAUACGGAGGGUGCAAGCGUUAAUCGGAAUUACUGGGCGUAAAGGGUGCGCAGGCGGUCUUGCAAGUCAGAUGUGAAAGCCCCGGGCUUAACCUGGGAAUUGCGUUUGAAACUACAAGGCUAGAGUGCAGCAGAGGGGAGUGGAAUUCCAUGUGUAGCAGUGAAAUGCGUAGAGAUGUGGAAGAACACCGAUGGCGAAGGCAGCUCCCUGGGUUGACACUGAUGCUCAUGCACGAAAGCGUGGGGAGCAAACA
rnacentral:rRNA from 1 species